UUUGAUUUAGUUUAGUGGCGGACGGGUGAGUAACGCGUGAGUAACCUGCCUUCAAGAGGGGGAUAACAUUCUGAAAAGAAUGCUAAUACCGCAUGACAUAUCGGAACCACAUGGUUCUGAUAUCAAAGAUUUUAUCGCUUGAAGAUGGACUCGCGUCCGAUUAGUUAGUUGGUGAGGUAACGGCUCACCAAGACCGCGAUCGGUAGCCGGACUGAGAGGUUGAACGGCCACAUUGGGACUGAGACACGGCCCAGACUCCUACGGGAGGCAGCAGUGGGGGAUAUUGCGCAAUGGGGGCAACCCUGACGCAGCAACGCCGCGUGAAGGAUGAAGGUUUUCGGAUUGUAAACUUCUUUUAUUAAGGACGAAAAAUGACGGUACUUAAUGAAUAAGCUCCGGCUAACUACGUGCCAGCAGCCGCGGUAAUACGUAGGGAGCAAGCGUUGUCCGGAUUUACUGGGUGUAAAGGGUGCGUAGGCGGCUUUGUAAGUCAGAUGUGAAAUCUAUGGGCUCAACCCAUAAACUGCAUUUGAAACUGUAGAGCUUGAGUGAAGUAGAGGCAGGCGGAAUUCCCCGUGUAGCGGUGAAAUGCGUAGAGAUGGGGAGGAACACCAGUGGCGAAGGCGGCCUGCUGGGCUUUAACUGACGCUGAGGCACGAAAGCGUGGGUAGCAAACAGGAUUAGAUACCCUGGUAGUCCACGCUGUAAACGAUGAUUACUAGGUGUGGGGGGUCUGACCCCUUCCGUGCCGGAGUUAACACAAUAAGUAAUCCACCUGGGGAGUACGGCCGCAAGGUUGAAACUCAAAUGAAUUGA
rnacentral:rRNA from 1 species